UACAGAGGUCCCAAGCGUUGUUCGGAUUCACUGGGCGUAAAGGGUGCGUAGGUGGUGAGGUAAGUCGGAUGUGAAAUCUCCGAGCUCAACUCGGAAAUGGCAUUGGAAACUACCUUGCUUGAGGGUUGGAGGGGGGACUGGAAUACUUGGUGUAGCAGUGAAAUGCGUAGAUAUCAAGUGGAACACCAGUGGCGAAGGCAAUCCCCUGGGCCUGUACUGACGCUCAUGCACGAAAGCGUGGGGAGCAAACAGG
rnacentral:rRNA from 1 species